AUGGAGCCGGGGUCGUCCUCGUCGUCGGGCUCCGGCUCGCCGGCCCUCCGCCUCGUCAUGCCCGAGCCGGAGGGGACACCUCUCGGGCGUCGCGUUCGCAGCGGCGCCCUCAUCAUCAACGAGCCCUUGCCGGCGAUAGCACCGACGAGGCACUCCCUCCGCCUGGUCCGGCCGAAGCCCGAGCCGAACGUGCUCCCCGUGAAGCCGGAGCACUCCACCAUGGUGGCCCCCGAAGACGAGUCCGCCCUAAAAUGGGCGAAGGAGGACUACGUCCGCGAGCAGGUGCGCCGCCAGCGUCGGGCGUGCCUGGAAACCCAGGCCCGUAGCCACGCCGAGGCCCGUCGCCGCGCCGAGGAGGGCGGCGUUAUCGUCAUCGAUAGCGGCGAUGAGGACGAGGCCGGGCCGUCAAGCGCUGUCGGCGACCCCGGCGAGGGUUGCAGCAGGGACCCCGGCGAGGCCUGCAGCAGGGUGCACGACGAUGACGACGACGUCGAUGGCGACUAUACCCGCUUCUACAGGCUUCUCGGCAUGUAA
rnacentral:rRNA from 1 species